UACGUAGGCAGCGAGCGUUGUUCGGAAUUACUGGGCGUAAAGAGUGUGUAGGCGGUGUUCCCAGUCUGUUGUGAAAUCCCUCGGCUUAACCGGGGAACUGCGUCUGAUACUGGAUGGCUGGAGUAUGGGAGAGGGAUGCGGAAUUCCAGGUGUAGCGGUGAAAUGCGUAGAUAUCGAGAGGAACACCUGCGGCGAAGGCGGGUUGCUGGGCUGACACUGACGCUGAGGCGCGAAAGCUAGGGGAGCGAACGGG
rnacentral:rRNA from 1 species